rnacentral:piRNA from 1 species
UGAGAAAAUGCCUUACCACUUGAUCACACGU